rnacentral:rRNA from 1 species
ACUCCUACGGGAGGCAGCAGUGGGGAAUAUUGCACAAUGGGGGAAACCCUGAUGCAGCCAUGCCGCGUGUGUGAAGAAGGCCUUCGGGUUGUAAAGCACUUUCAGUAGGGAGGAAGGUAGUGUAGUUAACACCUGCACUAUUUGACGUUACCUACAGAAGAAGCACCGGCUAACUCCGUGCCAGCAGCCGCGGUAAUACGGAGGGUGCGAGCGUUAAUCGGAAUUACUGGGCGUAAAGCGCAUGCAGGCGGCCUGUUAAGUCAGAUGUGAAAGCCCGGGGCUUAACCUCGGAAUUGCAUUUGAAACUGGCAGGCUAGAGUCUUGUAGAGGGGGGUAGAAUUUCAGGUGUAGCGGUGAAAUGCGUAGAGAUCUGAAGGAAUACCAGUGGCGAAGGCGGCCCCCUGGACAAAGACUGACGCUCAGAUGCGAAAAGCUGGGGGAGCAAACAGGAUUAGAUACCCUGGUAGGAUAGCG